rnacentral:rRNA from 1 species
CUACGGGACGCUGCAGUGAGGAAUAUUGCACAAUGGGGGGAACCCUGAUGCAGCAACGCCGCGUGGAGGAUGACGCAUUUCGGUGUGUAAACUCCUUUUAUAUGUCAGGAAAAUGACGGUAGCAUAUGAAUAAGCACCGGCUAACUCCGUGCCAGCAGCCGCGGUAAUACGGAGGGUGCAAGCGUUACUCGGAAUCACUGGGCGUAAAGGACGCGUAGGCGGGUUGGAAAGUCGGGUGUGAAAUCCUACAGCUUAACUGUAGAACUGCACUUGAAACUUCUAAUCUAGAGUAUGGGAGGGGGAGAUGGAAUUAGUGGUGUAGGGGUAAAAUCCGUAGAUAUCACUAGGAAUACCUAAAGCGAAGGCGAUCUCCUGGGACAUUACUGACGCUAAGGCGUGAAAGCGUGGGGAGCAAACAGGAUUAGAUACCCGGGUAGUC